AUUGAACGCUGGCGGAAUGCUUUACACAUGCAAGUCGAACGGCAGCACGGACUUCGGUCUGGUGGCGAGUGGCGAACGGGUGAGUAACGUAUCGGAACGUGCCCAGUCGUGGGGGAUAACGUAGUGAAAAUUACGCUAAUACCGCAUACGAUCUAUGGAUGAAAGCGGGGAUCGCAAGACCUCGCGCGAUUGGAGCGGCCGAUAUCAGAUUAGGUAGUUGGUGGGGUAAAGGCCCACCAAGCCAACGAUCUGUAGCUGGUCUGAGAGGACGACCAGCCACACUGGGACUGAGACACGGUGCAGACUCCUACGGGAGGCAGCAGUGGGGAAUUUUGGACAAUGGGUGAAAGCCUGAUUCAGCCAUUCCGCGUGCAGGAUGAAGGCCCUCGGGUUGUAAACUGCUUUUGUACAGAACGAAAAGGUUUCUACUAAUACUAGGAGCUCAUGACGGUACUGUAAGAAUAAGCACCGGCUAACUACGUGCCAGCAGCCGCAGUAA
rnacentral:rRNA from 1 species